GGAUAUCGCUUAGUUGGUAGAGCAUUUGCCUUUCAUGUACUAGGCCCUGGGUUCAAUUCCCAGCACCA
rnacentral:tRNA from 1 species